AGGUCUGAGCCAGACAUCGUAACAACAAAGUUUGCUUGUGCUGGACCUCUUGUCAUGUGAUUUGACCGAUGAACUCCUGUCAUCAGCAGCAAUCACAGUAGCCUAUCAUCCCUUAGAUAAACAGCAUCCCUGUGGAUUGGAGAAACUGCCAGUGUCGACCGAGUUAAGGAUCUCUUCAAUUCCUCUUUCUUUAAAUGUCCUCGUGUACGCCCAUGCGAGUGUGGGUGUAUUCACGAGGACUCCCUUUUUCCUAUCCCGGCUGGUGGAUUCAAUUUUCCUGCGAAUGGAGCAACUGUAGAGAUGCCUGGCUGUAUUUCCCAGGCAUAAAG